GAAAUGCGAUAAGUAGUGUGAAUUGCAGAAUUCAGUGAAUCAUCGAAUCUUUGAACGCACAUUGCGCCCUUUGGUAUUCCUUAGGGCAUGCCUGUUCGAGCGUCAUCUAAACCUUCAAGCCCUGCUUGGUGUUGGGUGCCUGUCCCGCCUCCGCGCGCGGACUCACCUCAAAUCGAUUGGCGGCCCCCGCGUCGGCCACGAGCGCAGCAGAAACGCGAACUCGUGAGCCCGUCCGGGCGGCUCCCAGAAGCUACACCCACCCAGUUUGACCUCGGAUCAGGUAGGGAUACCCGCUGAACUUAAGC
rnacentral:misc_RNA from 1 species